UUGCCUAAAGCUAGUAUUACCUUUAGGCUACUUUUGUAGCGUGUAGCA
rnacentral:ncRNA from 1 species